rnacentral:snoRNA from 1 species
UAGGAAAGAUGUUAACUUAAAAAAUUACCUAUGUGUUCUCACAGUCAAAAGCCAUUCCAAAUUAGCAUAGCAAUUACUGAACCUGCUCUCUAAAAUACUGCUAAUGAUAUCACAGGAACUGACUUUUCCUGCUCUUA